GUCUACAUCUUAGAGGCCUUUUAAACUCAGCACGCGCCGAAGCAGGUGGCUGGAUGGUGGGCCCUUCGUCGUCAGGAUCCUCCAAGUUUUCCAGCCUUUGUUCCAGCUUAUAAUUAGAUGUGGGAAAAUACAGUAACCACAAAAACCUUCCAGUUAGAAAACUCCAUUAAUUCCUAGGCUCUCUUUUCUUGUGAAAGAAAUCCAGCAUGCCCGCUGUCUCGUUUUUGGUCACUGCUAAGCAUGCUUUUUGAAUAAGCCAAUUUGGAAAAAGUUAUUCCACAGAUACAGUUGUGAAGCCCUCCCAUCCCCUGAGACCGCCAUUACCCCGUCACCCCUGCCACCAGCACCCUCUGGCAAGAAUUUAAAAGGACCCAGAAGAGACUUGAGUAAAUUGCUUGUUGAUGACAUUUUUUUCAAGUUCAGCAAUGUUAAAAGCUGCUAAAGACCUUUCCAAACAUAUUUCACGAUGGCAAAUUUGUGCAGAAAAAGUUGAGUAGCCAUUGUGCCCCUUUUGAGCGGCGUCAGGAGGUCUUGUUAGGUCUGGACUGGGGCUGGAACGGUGGCUUUGCAUUUAUCUUUGUUUGUUUCCCACCUAGGAAGGUGAUUCAGAGGUGGGGGCCUAGAAGACAGACAGCUGUCUGGGGGAGAGCAGACCUGUCCGUAGCAGAGGGGGCUGCGCUGAUUGAAGAAGAUCUGUUCCCUCUCUGUUCCCUUUGCCAGAAGGAGCGUUGCGCUUUGGGAUUCACCUUCACUUUCUAGCUGCUUCCAUGGGCAGAGGGUUCAAGCGAUUCUCCUGCCUCAGCCUCCUGAGUAGCUGGGACCACAGGCGCCCGCCACCAUGCCCAGGUAAUUUUUUUGUAUUUUUAGUACAGACGGGGUUUCACCAUGUUAGCCAGGAUGGUCUCAAUCUCCUGAUCUCGUGAUUUGCCCGCCUCGGCCUCCCAAAGUGCUGGGAUUACAGGCGUGAGCCACCGUGCCCAGCCCUGUUUGCUUUUAAAUGGGAGAGACGUGUUUAAAUCCCUCCGAUGGGAAGAGAAAGAACAAUUGGGGCUACAGUGGGGGGGAGGGAGGGAGAUGAAUGAUGACUCUGUCACUAACAACCCCUCGGACCGUGGGCAGUGGAUUUACUGCCACUUCCUCAUCUGUAAAGUGAGAAGUAAUAACAGGAUCUGAUUCAUUGUUUCAAGUGUUUCUCCUGCCUCCCCUUGCAACCUCUUGCAACCUCCGCUUGAAAAGGGUAAUGGAUUUACUGCCACUUCCUCAUCUGUAAAGUGAGAAGUAAUAACAGGAUCUGAUUCAUUGUUUCAAGUGUUUCUCCUGCCUCCCCUUGCAACCUCUUGCAACCUCCGCUUGAAAAGGGUAAUGGAUUUACUGCCACUUCCUCAUCUGUAAAGUGAGAAGUAAUAACAGGAUCUGACUCAUCGGGCUGAUGUGAGGAGGGAACCAGCCAGUGUGAGCACAUUGCUCAAGGCAUAGAGAUAAACUACAAUAAAUGUUAUUCCCAUUAUCAACCUCCUCCAUGGCUUCUAAAAGGAGCAAGUAUAGGUGUGCAGGACCCCACUGUCUGCAAGGUUUCCCAGCUUGGAAGGUGGCGGCCCUGGUAAUCUGGAAGCGUCUGGAAUUAUUAAUACUUUCUUCUGCUCUUCUGUGACAGCUUAAAUAAAUUGGAUUUUUUAAUGUUUUCUUUUUUUAAAAAAAUCAGUAGGAAUAACAGGAACAUACAGUAGGUGUACCCAGAGCUUAGCGGAAGUACCAGAGGCAGGAUUUUGACGAGGGUUUGAUCUCCUCUGGUUCGCUGGAUCUGUGAGUGACUGCUCUAUAACUGGCCUGAGGUCAGACCUCGCUGACCACCCCCACUCCCCCCCGCCCUUUUUUUUUUGAGACGGAGUCUCGCUCUGUUGCCCAGGCUGGAGUGCAAUGGUACGAUCUCGGCUCUUUGCAACCUCCGCCUCCUGGUUUCAAGCGAUUCUCCUGCCUUAGCCUCCCGAGUAGCUGGGAUUACAAGCAUGUGCCACCACACUUGCUAAUUUUUGUAUUUUUAGUAGACAUGGGGUUUCACCAUGUUAGCCAAGUUGGUCAUGAGCUCCUGACCUCAAGUGAGCCUCCCACCUCGGCCUCCCAAAGUGCUGGAAUUACAGGCAUGAGCCACAGUGCCCAGCCUUGACCCACAUUUUUUAUGGGGAAAAGAGGGCGGUGGGCCCUUUGCAGCCUGAGUUGGAGCGGGAGGGGUCUGUGGUGGGUGGAAUUGGGUCCUCCCCAAAUGCAUGUCUACCUGGAGCCUCAGAAUGUGACCUUGGUUGGAAAGAGGGUUUUUGCUGAAGUAAUUAAGGAAAGGGUCCAAAUGAGAUCAUACUGCAUUCGGGUGGCCCUCAGUCCAAUGACUGGUGUCUUUAUAAGAUGAGAGGGUGCACAGAGGCACAUAUACAGCGGAGAAGGCCACGUGGAGACAGAGGUGAAGACUGGAGUGGUACAGCCAGGGAACUGCCAAGGUGCCAGGAGCCACCAGGAGCUGCAAGAGGCAAAAGAAGAUUCUUCCCCACAGAGGGAGCAGAGCACCGCAGACAGGUUGAUUUCAGGCUUCUGGCCUUUAGGACUGUGAAAGGAGACAGUUCCACUGUUUUAAGUCACCCAGUAGAAGGUCAUUCAUUAUGGCAUCCCCAGGACACGAAGAGUCUGGCUUCAUGAUUGGUCUAGGUUGGUGAAGGAGGUCAUGGGGUCCUCUGAGGCCAUUGUGGUGGCACUGAGUAGCCCGAGGGACCCUUUUCAGCAUCAGAAUGGUGGGAAGUGGUGUGCAGACCAAAGCCGCGAACACGCAGAGUGGGAGGACUGGGGUCUAGCAGCCUGCUGGGAGGGCCUGUUCAACCAAAGACCUUUUGAUCUACAAAUUUUUUUUUUUUUUUUCGAGACGAAGUCUUGGUGUGUCACCCAGGCUGGAGUGCAGUGGCGCAAUCUCAGCUCACUGUAACCUCUGCCUCCCAUGUUCAAGAGAUUCUCCUGCCUCAGCUUCUUGAGUAGCUGGGAUUACAGGCACACGUCACCACACCCAGCUAAUUUUUGUAUUUUUUGGUAGAGAUGGGGUUUCUCUGUAUUGGCCAGGCUGGUCGCGAACUCCUGGCCUCAAGUGAUCAGCCUGCCUCUGCCUCCCGAAGUGCUGGGAUUACAGAGAUGCGAGCCACCGCACCCAGCCAAUUUACAAAUAUUUUGAAAAUGCUACUUAUGAAUGGCCCAAUAAUUUUACUUCUAGGAGUUUAUCUUAAGGAAAAAAUAAAAAAUUCAGAUGAAACCUUAUCCCCCUAGAUGUUUAUAAAGACACUAUUUUUUUUUUUCCAGGGGGUGUGAUCUUGCUCUGUUUCCCAGGCUGGAAUACAGUGGUGUGAUCAUGGCUCACUGCAGCUGGAACCUCCCAGGCUCCAGCAAUCCUCCCACCUCCCAAGUAGCUGGGACCUCAGGCCCGUGCCACCGCAUAUGCCCAGCUAUUUGUAUUUUUAGUAGAGACAGGGUUUUGCCAUGUUGCCCAGGCUGGUCUCGAACUCCUGGACUCAAGCAAUCCUCCCGCCUCAGCGCCUGGCCCAAGACACUUUUUUUGUUUUUUUGAGAUGGAGUCUUGCUCUGUCACCCAGGCUGGAGUGCAGUGGCAUGAUCUCGGCUCACUGCAACCUCUGCCUCCUGGGUUCAAGUGAUCCUCCUGCCUUAGCCUCCCAAGUAGCUGGGAUUACAGGCACCCAUUACCAUGCCUGGCUAAUCCAAGACACUAUUUAUAAGAAAACCUAGAACCAGUCUACACAUCCAAUAGUGAGGAAAUGAUUAGAUGAAUUACAGUACAUCCACAAGAUGGAUUACUAAACAGACAUUGGCAUGAUUUAUGAAGAGUGUUUAAUGUUUACAAAGAGCUUUUAAUGAUGUGGAAGACGGUGGUGGUAUAAGUAGGAAAAAACUGGUUAUAAAUGAUAUCACAAUAUGAUGUCAACGAUAAAAAAAUGUACAAAAAAAGACUUUUUUAAAACGUCGAAGUGUCAGAGUGGUCUCUAGUUGGAGAAAUAAUUUUUUUUUUAAAAACAAACUUCUUCAUACUUUUUGUACUUUUAAAAUGAUUUACUAUGUACAUGGAUUACUUCCAUAAUCAAGAAAAAAAGUAAAAACUUUUAAAAUGCCGUGAACGUGGUUUCCAUUUUUAUUUUCUCUGAUGGGUGACUGCACAUCAGCGAUCUUGAGUUAUGCUAA